rnacentral:rRNA from 1 species
UACAGAGGGUGCUAGCGUUGUUCGGAAUCAUUGGGCGUAAAGAGCGUGUAGGCGGUCCGGUAAGUCCGCUGUGAAAGUCGGGGGCUCAACCCUCGAAUGCCGGUGGAUACUGUCGGGCUAGAGUGCGGAAGAGGCGAGUGGAAUUCCUGGUGUAGCGGUGAAAUGCGCAGAUAUCAGGAGGAACACCUAUUGCGAAGGCAGCUCGCUGGGACGUAACUGACGCUGAGACGCGAAAGCGUGGGGAGCAAACAGG